AUUGAACGCUGGCGGCAGGCCUAACACAUGCAAGUCGAGCGGAUGAAGGGAGCUUGCUCCUGGAUUCAGCGGCGGACGGGUGAGUAAUGCCUAGGAAUCUGCCUGGUAGUGGGGGAUAACGUCCGGAAACGGGCGCUAAUACCGCAUACGUCCUGAGGGAGAAAGUGGGGGAUCUUCGGACCUCACGCUAUCAGAUGAGCCUAGGUCGGAUUAGCUAGUUGGUGGGGUAAAGGCCUACCAAGGCGACGAUCCGUAACUGGUCUGAGAGGAUGAUCAGUCACACUGGAACUGAGACACGGUCCAGACUCCUACGGGAGGCAGCAGUGGGGAAUAUUGGACAAUGGGCGAAAGCCUGAUCCAGCCAUGCCGCGUGUGUGAAGAAGAUCUUCGGAUUGUAAAGCACUUUAAGCUGGGAGGAAGGGCAGUAAGUUAAUACCUUGCUGUUUUGACGUUACCAACAGAAUAAGCACCGGCUAACUUCGUG
rnacentral:rRNA from 1 species